rnacentral:ncRNA from 1 species
GUCCUGAUCAAGACAUUAAACUGCUCACCGCCUGGCGCCGCAUCACCUGAUCACUGAUGGCUCAACGGUAUCUGGCGGUACAACUCAAUAUUACAGCUGCCUUUUGAGCGGGUUAGCUGCAAUCCGAAACGGAGAGCUCCGUUUGGACUGCGGUUAGGUUUUUACACCCAUUUUGUGGCAGCGCC